AUUGAACGCUGGCGGCAUGCCUUACACAUGCAAGUCGAACGGCAGCGCGGACUUCGUUCUGCCGGCGAGUGGCGAACGGGUGAGUAAUUCAUCGGAACGUACCCUGUUGUGGGGGAUAACUAGUCGAAAGAUUAGCUAAUACCUCAUACGUCCUGAGGGUGAAAGUGGGGGACCGGAAACGGCCUCGUGCAGCAAGAGCGGCCGAUGUCUGAUUAGCUAGUUGGUGGGGUAAAGGCCCACCAAGGCGACGAUCAGUAGCUGGUCUGAGAGGACGAUCAGCCACACUGUGACUGAGACACGGCCCAGACUCCUACGGGAGGCCCCAUACGGGAAUUUCCGACACGGCGCUCAACGAUCUAGCAGCAGAGCCUGGUUCAGGACGUGUGCCUUCGAGUAUUCAAGCACUUCUGGCAGGAGAGAAGCCGAGCUAUGUAACAUCCUCCCUUGCCGACGUUGACGGACGAAUAGGCAUUGCCUAACUCCGCG
rnacentral:rRNA from 1 species